rnacentral:rRNA from 1 species
AGAGUUUGAUCCUGGCUCAGAUUGAACGCUGGCGGCAUGCCUUACACAUGCAAGUCGAACGGCAGCACGGGGGCAACCCUGGUGGCGAGUGGCGAACGGGUGAGUAAUGCAUCGGAACGUGCCCAGUAGUGGGGGAUAGCUCGGCGAAAGCCGGAUUAAUACCGCAUACGACCUACGGGUGAAAGCGGGGGACCGCAAGGCCUCGCGCUGUUGGAGCGGCCGAUGUCAGAUUAGGUUGUUGGUGAGGUAACGGCUCACCAAGCCGACGAUCUGUAGCUGGUCUGAGAGGACGACCAGCCACACUGGGACUGAGACACGGCCCAGACUCCUACGGGAGGCAGCAGUGGGGAAUUUUGGACAAUGGGGGCAACCCUGAUCCAGCCAUGCCGCGUGCGGGAAGAAGGCCUUCGGGUUGUAAACCGCUUUUGUCGGGGAAGAAAUCUUCCGGGUUAACACCUCGGGAGGAUGACGGUACCCGAAGAAUAAGCACCGGCUAACUACGUGCCAGCAGCCGCGGUAAUACGUAGGGUGCAAGCGUUAAUCGGAAUUACUGGGCGUAAAGCGUGCGCAGGCGGUUAUGCAAGACAGAUGUGAAAUCCCCGGGCUUAACCUGGGAACUGCAUUUGUGACUGCAUAGCUGGAGUACGGCAGAGGGGGAUGGAAUUCCGCGUGUAGCAGUGAAAUGCGUAGAUAUGCGGAGGAACACCGAUGGCGAAGGCAGUCCCCUGGGCCU